rnacentral:rRNA from 1 species
AAGGGCACCACAAGAACGCGUGGAGCAUGUGGCUUAAUUUGACUCAACGCGGGAAAACUUACCGGGUCCGGACACACUGAGGAUUGACAGGCGAUUUAGUAAAUAUGCUAGUCCUUUCAUGAUUGUGUGAUAGGUGGUGCAUGGCCGUUCUUAGUUCGUGGAGUGAUCUGUCUGCUUAAUUGCGUUUCAGAUAAAAAGGACUUUAAGAGUGUAGGUCACUGUCUGUAACAGGACGUGGCUCAAACUCAAGAUCCUUUGAAAGCAAUGAACGUGACCGCAACCCUUUGUUACACACACAUACACAAGUGUGCMAACUAAGGGGACCGCCAGGGUUGUAAAACCGGAGGAAGGUUGCGGCAAUAACAGGUCUGUGAUGCCCUUAGAUGUUCCGGGCUGCACACGUGCUACAAUGAUUGUUGCAGCAAGUAUCUAUACUAUUGAUUGUUUCUGAAGACCUUCACGGGUUCGGAUGAGACCACGUAUUGACACAAUCGACAUUCAUUUGUCGUCUUUGUGGCUGACGUGAAACCUACCUCGAAAGUACGGUAGGCAAUCAAUUCCAAGUGACAAUCUCCCGCGCACAAAUCAAAUGCCGUCACGUCAUGGUGUUUACACUGUGUAUGUGUCUGACAUGUGCUCUAUUAAUUCGUGGUCGGGACAGACCAUUGCUAAUUGUUGGUCUCGGUUUCAACUAGGAAUGCCUUGUACGGGUCUUUGGUUCAACAAACCACCCGGAAUACGUCCCUGCCCUUUGUACACACCGCCCGUCGCUCUUACCGAUGGACUAUACUGUGAGUUUGAGGGACUGGUCUCCCGUACGCAAGUGCGGUGAUACUAUGGAAACUCCAACGAACAGUGUGGUCUAAAGGAAAGAGAAGUCG